GUGCCUAUAGCUCAGCGGUAGAGUUCCAGAUUGUGGAUCUGGCUGUCGUGGGUUCGAACCCCACUAGGCACCCA
rnacentral:tRNA from 1 species